GAUGAACGCUGGCGGCGUGCCUAAUACAUGCAAGUCGAGCGAACGGACGAGAAGCUUGCUUCUCUAAUGUUAGCGGCGGACGGGUGAGUAACACGUGGAUAACCUACCUAUAAGACUGGGAUAACUUCGGGAAACCGUAGCUAAUACCGGAUAAUAUUUUGAACCGCAUGGUUCAAAAGUGAAAGACGGUCUUGCUGUCACUUAUAGAUGGAUCCGCGCUGCAUUAGCUAGUUGGUAUGGUAACGGCUUACCAAGGCAACGAUGCAUAGCCGACCUGAGAGGGUGAUCGGCCACACUGGAACUGAGACACGGUCCAGACUCCUACGGGAGGCAGCAGUAGGGAAUCUUCCGCAAUGGGCGAAAGCCUGACGGAGCAACGCCGCGUGAGUGAUGAAGGUCUUCGGAUCGUAAAACUCUGUUAUUAGGGAAGAACAUAUGUGUAAGUAACUGUGCACAUCUUGACGGUACCUAAUCAGAAAGCCACGGCUAACUACGUG
rnacentral:rRNA from 1 species